AUGGAAUCAACUCAAAAUCUCGGCCUUUGACAUCAAUAUCACACUCUAGAAACCUCUCAGGCAUGAAUGCAUUUGGGUUGGGCCAAGUGCUUGGAUCUCGACCAAUUGCCCACGCAUUAACUAGUACUUGUGAAUUCUUUGGAAUUGUGAAGCCACAUAUUUCUACGUCUGUUUCAGCUUUAUGGGGAACUAGCAGUGGGGCUGGUGGGUGCAACCGAAAGGUUUCUUUAACUAUGGAUUGUAAGUAAGGGAACUUCGAGAUGUCUGAUUCUUGAACUAUCCCUUCAUUCCCAAGGACUCCUCGGAUCUCCUUUUGAGCUUUUGCAAUUUUUUCCGGGUUGCAUAGUAACUCUGCCAUUGCCCACUCUACUGUGCUUGAAGUCGUGUCAGUUCCCGCAACAAAGAGAUCCUGAUCAUACAAAGCAAUGUUAGAAUUAAGGUUUCAUUGAUCAUAAUUUGCAAUUUGCACUUACCAAUGUUUUCUACAUGAAAUCUCAAGAAAAAUGUGUGCAAGAAGAAACUCCAAGGAAGACUGACUUCUAAUUCAUUGCUUACUUAAAUUUUCUAGGUCAAUUCAGUUUAAUAACUAUAACAAAUUUCAUAAAUGCAUCAAAUUGAAUGUGACGUAUGUGCAUAAAGACAAUUAAAUGAUUUCAUUUCCAUAGUCAUCCGAAAACGCCCUUGUAAAAUUUAACAGACAAAAGGAGUACUGAUUACUAAUAGUGAAGAUGUAGUUACCCACCAGAAGCAAAUGUUUUAUAUCACUGCAGCUCCACUCAUUGUCAUUUUCUUUUGUGAGAUUGAGGAGGGCAUCUAGUACAUCCUUGCUUGCUGAUGAAGUUUUUGAUUGCAACCUUUGAUUUAUUAUACCAUCAAAAAUAUGAAAUAAUUUAUUAAAAUAAAUUUUCAUGUUCCACCGUAUACCUUGUGGAUCAAUCAAUCUAAAGGCCGGGAAAUAAUCUACAAAGUUGGGUCUUCCAACUCCUUCCAUCACACCCCGGGCAAUAUUCUUGAACUCUUGUGAAAAAUUAGAACCAUGAUGAGCCAAAUUAAUGGAGAAAAUAGUGUUCGAUAACAAAUUAAGGCUUGCUGUGAAGACUGCUCCAUUAAUAUCGACUGCACAACCCCUACUGCAACAUUCUUCCACAUGAUCCAGCAGUUCCUGUACAAUUUUUCUCCGAAGGCCUUGGCUGGCAUCGAGCUGCUGCACCGAAAAUAUUUCCCUGGUGCAUAUCUUCCUAAUCUUUCGCCAAUGCACUGAUGCUGGAACCCAUACCACUGAAGACUCAUGAUGAUUAUGCGCUCUGACAGCAUCCGGGACUGUUCGGCUGGAGAAAGCUUGAUCAUUUCUGUGUAGGACCUCUUUUGCAGUUUCUGAAGAGGAAAUGACUAUGGUAGCAAUACUCCCAAGCUUGAGAGACAUUACAGGACCAUAAGUUUUGGAGAGAUUUGCAAGUGAUCGAUGGGGUUUGUCCCCAAGUUUGAGGAUGUUGCCGAUGAUUGGCAAAGGCCGGGGGCCUGGAGGGAGGCUGGCUGUACCAGGUUUCCGGCCAAUCGGACUGAGUUUGAGGAGAUGAAUGCAUGUCCACACAAAGGAAAGCAAAAGCAAAAAUGUUAUGUAAUCCAUUGUCUACUUCUUUUCACUCUUUUCCUCUCUUCUCUUGUUUAUGAGACACGGGAUUCUCCCUAUCGUCUCUGGUAUCUGUAUGGAAACAUGUGGACCAUGAAAUACUAAUCAACAAAACAAUGGUCUACUUUUUAAUUUCUUAUUUGGCUUUAGUGUUAUUUUCAUGAAAAAUCAAGGACGGACCACAGCCAACUUAAUAAACCCGUGAGUGAUUCUGCUACGAAACAACACCAACCAUGGAAAACAAAAUAAUGCUGCAAAACUAACAUAUAACACUGUUAAAAAAAAUCACCAUUCACAGACAAAGCCUUUUACCCAUACAAAUAUACACUAAAGGAAAAAUAUUUAUACAAUAAUCAUGUACGCUUGUCUUUAUGGGUCUUUACUAAUCCUCAAAACUUCUCUUUAUAAGUCAUAUAACCUUUUCUUGGCUUAAUGAAGAUGAGUUUUCAUUCUUCACUUUAAUUUUAAAAGUUAAUAAUCAUUUUUAAACAAAUUUUAAAAUAGAAAACUAACACACCUACAAGCUAUCAAUUUCUCAUUCUUGUUUAUCAAACCAACAACAUUUAUGUUUUACAUAGAAAAAUCAUAUAUAUAUAUAUAUAUAUAUAUACCAAUGUCAUUAAAAAUAUUCUUUUUCUUCUUAUUGUUAUAUAUAUAUAUAUAUAUAUAUAUAUAUAUAUAUACCAAACAUAAUUUUGUUUUUAUUUUUAAAAUAAAAAUAGAAUUAGAAUAUACAAAUUUAAUUAAACAAUUUUUAGUUUUCUACUUCUAGAAAUAGUAAAAAGAUCAAGAUCGUACAUUCCAAUAAUUUUUACUUAUUUAUAAUCUUUGGUGAAAAUAAAAAUGAAAUAAAGCCUGAAAGAUUAGGAUGUGAUGUCAAUAUGAUCAAUACUUGAGUUGUAAGUUGGCAUGGGGUUUAAUUAAAUAAAUUAUGGUAUAUAAUUAAUUAAUGGGCUUGGUCUUGUCUUAACGGACGAAACCACUUAGAGGAAGUGUGAAUAGGUAAGAAUAACUUUCUAACAUCGAUCUCCCUCCUCGUUAGGAUCCAAUCAAUGAAGUAGGCUACUGCUAUAUGAACCUGGAUGCGAUGUGAGGCAGUAUAGAAUGUACUACACUCAAAAAUACCAAAUUGUCAAGCUGGUUUGAUCACAUCAAUCAAUGGAAUACAUAUGGGUAAGAGACAAGCCUCCUCAUAAAAAGCAUGAGCAAUAGCCGCACACUCAACUCGUAAGAGGGUCAGGAUAUUAGAAACCAUAGGAGGAUCAAUGCCUUAAUAUAGACACACAUCCCCAAGUCAAUUUUUGACAAAUCUAUCAAGAAGACACAACAAAGUCUAAACCAUUUAUCAAAACACUAAAAUAUACUCUAGGAAUAUACUAAUAAUGGAUGUUAUCAUAGAACAUCCAAGUGCAGUGAUUAGGGUAUAUAGCCAUUUGAAUAGACAUAAUAGCCUUCCACCUCUAGUCAUAGACAAUGUAGGGAAUACGAGUACCCAAACUUAGAAAAAAUCAUAUAGCACACUUUGGCUCAACAUGUCUCUCAAAGAUUAUAUCAUAGAAUGCAAUCCUAUGUUUCAUAAAAUAGAAAUAAUGAAUGGGAAGGUUAUAUUGUAUAGGAUUGAUGAAUAGGUGUCCUAACAUGAGGAGACCUAGAAUGAGAAGCAGCCUACUUCUAGACCCACCUCUACCACAAGUCAUAGGAAAAAUAAGAGAAAAUUUUGGGAAUAGAAAUUAAUCUAGGAAAGUGUGCGAUCAAAAGUGUCCUAAACAUUGAGCUUAGAGGCCCAUUAAAGUCAAAUAUAAAGAGAAAUUGCAAGAAAAUCUUAUGAAGGAAGAGCAACGAAUGUUAGAAGAGAAAGGAGAUAAAAAUGGAGGCAUAUAGUGAAUAUCAAGUGUUGGUGCACUUUUAAAAUUAAGGACAUUCGAAUAUCUCAUAAAGAGUGUGUAGACCCUUAAUUUUAUUCAUAUUUAUAUGAUAUAAGCUUAUUUAGAUGUAGUCUUUUGACUUACCAUUUCUCUUGACUUUAUUUUAUUCCAUUUUAUAAUUAUUUUUAUUUAACUUUUUCACUUUUAUUCUCUAUUCUUUCUCAGUUCUUCCUUACCUUGCUUUUCUUUCUCUCCACACAUCACCAUACGUGCACCAUGAUUACACUUCCAUUAAUUUCUAAAGAAACAAACAAUUUCCUCCAUUUGUUUUUUAGAAAGGAAUGCGGGUAUAUCUAAGCCAAACUAGAAGUGGGACUUGUGUUGUUGAGUGAUCAUUGUACAUUCAAAUCUAACAAUAAGAUACUGGAGUCCUCCGCGUUAAUUAAUUUUCCAGAUGAUAUAUUGUUUGUCAACAUAAUGUUUGGGAAACACCCCAAUUUGCCACUUAGUUGGCCAAUCUCUACCAUCCUACCAAACACAUUUCUUUUUCUUUCCUUCACUCACUGUUUUACAAAUCUACUUGCAGGGUAACUUUCAACAAUGAAGGAUGGACCACAGCCAAAAGAACGGAUUGUACUAUAGCGCAUGGAAAACAAUAAUGCUGGAAACUAUCUUUCCUUUUUCUCACUGUUUUUCAAAUCUACUUGUUGGGUCGCUUUAAAAAAAAUGAAGGAUGGACCAUAGGCGGAGCUAGAAAAUGACCUGAGAGGGGCCAAAAUAUGAGAACAUAUUUCAGAGGGACAUAAAUGAUUGAAUUUACCUAGUGAUGUAGUGGCAAUGAAAGAUAUUUUUAUUCUUUUCCUAGGUGGGACAAGCACCAUGUGGCUCUGCUCCUGGAUGAACCACAACCAAAAGAAAGGACAAACCGACAUUGCUUGUACUGUAACACUUAGCAUGGAAAACAAUAAUGCAUGUUUUAAAAACUGAUCAAUCAAAGCCUGGUCCAGUUCGAUUCACAUGUUGAGCUGAAGCCAAGGAACCUACUGAACAGAGGUUGAGAUGGACCAAAAAUACCACAUACCACAAAUCUAUAGUAUGGGACCAUUGAUCGAAGAUUCAAAGAAAUGACUGUGCAACCACUAGAUCUAGUGCUAGUUUUGUUAUAUAACAGUUGCAUUAUUAGCUAAAUUUAUCCUACUUAUUUAUGUAAUAAUAAAUUUGAAAAAAUAAUAUAAGCAAAAUAACCUACUAUCUUUUAAAACUAUAAAAUAAUCUAAUAUUUAAUAUGUAAAUAAAGUUAAAUAAUAUUAUAUAUAUAUAUAUAAUAUAAAAUAUGAAAAUGUUAGCUGACUUAUUUCAUGAGCAUUUUUGUUUCAGUCAUCUAAAAAAAUUAACUCUGUUAUUGUUAAACUAUGAUUCCCUGCAAUAAAAACACUACAUUAAACCAUGAUUUCGAUUACUCUGAUGAGCAUAUUCCUCCUUAGUUCUUUCAUCUAUAUUGUAGCACAAGACUAUUACAACUUCUAUCCACCCUUUUAGCUGUUUCUCAUGCAAGUGACACAACAGAGAAAAAACAAAGGUCCCACCUAUUGUACCUAAAUCCUUCUUUAUUUAUAUCAUGAUUUUAUAUAUUUAUACUACCGUUUAGUAAUUAUAUUUUAUCAAAUAUUUUGAAAACCUUGGGUGGGUAUUAGGUAAUAAUAGGGUACAUAAACAACAUAGAAGUUGCAUUCAUUAAAACAUAAAAAUACAAUCAAACUUUGAUUGGAAUAGCCCGUAGAGGCUGGACCUUGUGUAAUGUCAACCCCAAUUUCUCAUUCAUGUCCAUAUCUGCUGGUUUCAUACCAUCGUCAAGCUUCCAAGCAUAGGAAUGAAGAAGAGAGGCCAAUAUCAGGUGCACCAUCCUAUGAGCUAAUGGCAGUCCAAGACAUAUUCUUCUUCCCGCACCAAAUGGAAUCAACUCAAAAUCCCGGCCUUUGACAUCAAUAUCACACCCCAAAAACCUCUCAGGUACGAAUGCAUUUGGGUUCGACCAAGUGCUUGGAUCUCGACCGAUAGCCCAUACAUUAACUAGUACUUGGGAAUUCUUUGGAACUGUGAAGCCGCGUAUUUCUACAUCAGAUUCAGCUUUAUGGGGAGCUAGCAGUGGGCCUGGUGGGUGCAACCUAAAGGUCUCUUUGACUAUGGCUUGAAAGUAAGGGAGCUUUGAGAUGUCUGAUUCUUGAACUAUCCCAUCCUUGCCAAGGACUUCUUGGAGCUCCCUUUGAGCUUUUGCCAUUUUUUCCGGGUUGUGUAGUAGCUCUGCCAUUGCCCACUCUAUUGUGCCUGAAGUGGUGUCAGUUCCCGCAAGAAAGAGAUCCUGAUCACACAAAGCAGCGUUAGAAUUAAGGUUCCAUUGAUCAUCGUUUACAAAUAUGCAGUUACCAACGUUUCCUACACGAAAUCUCAAGAAAAAUUGUACAAGAAAUAACUACAAGGAAGACUAACUUCUAAUUGAUUGUUUACUCAAGUGUUUAGGUCAAUUUCAGUUUAAUAACUUAACCAAUUUCACAGUUAAAAGUUAAAAGGAAAUGCAAUUGCAGGUACAUAAUAUAGAUACUUCAGUGGAGAAGUUACCAAGGAUUAGAUAGAAUGAUUUAUAAAUUAUUCCAAAAGUCACUAAAGCCAUUCUUCAUCAAAAUUAGGUUGUAGUUCAGCUAAAAGAUUGAGAAAUUCAAUCUUCUCGUGUGUGUAUAUAUAGGUGUUACUAUUGAAUGAAAUCCAUAUAUGCAGGAGGCAUUUAAAUAAGGAACUUAAAUUAUUCCAUAAUAUAUAUGAACUAGAUUCUUCAAUUCCAACGAAAGAGUAAAUCAUUACAAAUAGUAUCAUAGUCAACCUCAUUGGAGGAGUUUGUUUGGUCUUGCAUAAAUGUCUUAAUUUUGUAUAAUAACUACAACAUGGGAGGAAAGGUGUGGGUCUUAUAGUUAAAAGAUGACCAUACAAAUGUAUUUUGAAGCAAAGAUUGAGAUUCAAGAAAGCCAUGUCACUUUCUUGAAUUCCAUAAAAUAGUUUUACAUCUUUUAUGAAGUAAGCUUAUACUCUAAAAUGCAAUGUAAUGAAUGCAAAAGGUAGUUAAUAUGAUAUCUCAAAUCAAAGAAAGGAAAAAGUUUUAAUGCUAUAUAUGUUUGGAUUUUUUUUAAUUUUGUGGACGCGUUUUAAAAUCGUGAAAAAACAAUUGUUAUAAAUAAUAUCAACCCCAAGGUAAAGUUUGUUUGGCUAUAUAUGCAAGGGGUGUCUAUUUCUUGGCACUAUAUAUAUCUUAACUUUGAAUAAUAUCUUCAUGGGAAGGAGCAGGGCUCUAUCUACUGACACUAUAUAUAUGUCUUCACUUUGUAUAAUAUCUACAUGGAAGGAAGCAACGAAUGUAUGAGCUCUUUUUAACCUUGUAAAAAAUAAUAUCUACUUAGCUUGUAGACUACGAUAUCUACUUGAGAGGUACUAGUACAUCGUAUCAAAUGUAUAGUGAAGCAAAGAUUGAGAUAUGGUACUCACCAUAAGCAAAUGUAUAAUAUCUCUGCAGCUCCACUCUUGGUUAUUUUCUUCUGUGAGAUUGAGGAAGGCAUCUAGUACAUCGUUGCUUGCUGAUGAAGCUUUUGAUUGCAACCUUUGAUUGAUUAUACCUUCAAAAAUAUGAAUCAAUUUAUCGAGAUGAAUCUUCAUGUUUUGCUGUAUACCUUGUGGGUCAAUCAAUUUAAAGGCCGGGAAAUAAUCUGCAAAAUUGGGUCUUCCAGCGUCUUCCAUCACACGCCAUACAAUAUCCUUGAACUCUUGUGAAAAAGUAGAGGCGUGAUGAACCAAAUUAAUGGAGAAAAUGGUGUUUGAUAACAAAUUAAGGCUUGCUGUGAAGGUUGCUGCACCAAUAUCGACUGCACAACCCCUACCGCAACAUUCUUCCGCAUGGUCCAGCAGUUCCUGUACUAUUUUUCUCCUAAGGCCUUGGCUGGCUUCAAGCCGCUGCACCGAAAACAUUUCCCUGGUGCAUAUCUUCCUAAUCUUUCGCCAAUAAGCAGAUGCCGGACUCCAUACUACCGAAGAUUCAUGAUGGUUAUGGGCUUUGACGGCAUCUAGAACUACUCGGCCAGAGAAGGCUUGAUUAUUUCUGUGUAGGACCUCUUUGGCAGUUUCAGAAGAGGAAAUGACUAUGGUGGAAACACUCCCAAGCUUGAGAGACAUUACAGGGCCAUAAGUUUUGGAGAGAUUUGUAAGAGAUUGAUGAGGUUUGUCCCCAAGUUUGAGGAUGUUGCCGAUGAUUGGAAAGGGGCGGGGGCCUGGAGGGAGGCUGGCUGUACUGGGUUUCCGGCCAGUUGGACUGAGCUUGAGGAGAUGAAUGCAGGUCCACACAAAGGAAAGCAAAAGCAAAACUGUAAUGUAAUCCAUCGGCUAUCCCUUUCAAUACUACUCUUCUAUUCUUGAUGCUCCGAUUCUCCCCAUCUUCUGUGGUAUUUGUAUAGAAACAUGAGGACCAUGAACUGCUUAUCAACAAAUUAAUCACGGUUAUUUUGGUAUUUGUAUCAAAUGAAUUUAGUUUUUUUUGCCAAAUGCAUAAAUUAGGUUUUGAGGAGGCACUAAGAAAUGGAUGGCUUUUGGACAUUAAAGUGUCCAAAAGUAGGUAAGAAAUUAAUAAAUUAUUGAAAUCCAAGGGAAAAGUAGGUAAGAAAUUAUUGAAAUCCAAGAGACUUGUAAAAUUUGAAUUCUAAUAUCCACACGUGAUUUCCGUGUAUCCUACUCGACCAUGAGACUUGCAUGACUUGGACUCAACCAUCUAAAUGGAAAUUGUUUGAGAUUUAAUUAAUAGUAAAAUCCUAUUUCUUUUUUUUUUAUUGACAAUACUAAAAAUUUUAUUCAACAUAAAAAAAAUUUGUAUAAGACAAAAUAAAGCUUUGACAAGAAGAACAUUUUAUUAACUUUCAUAUUAAGUUUUUAAAAAAUCUUAAAUAAAUUAAUUAAGCAGCCAUAAAACCUUUUAUUGAACUUUAAAAAAGGUUUUUCUCUUCUCAUAAAUCAAACCAAGACAUAAACAUUUUAUGGAAAAACUUGGAAAAGUAGGUUGAUAUAUUUGAUUUGUGAACAUAACAAAAUUGAAUACAUAAAGAUGAAAAGUUAAGGUUUAUUUGGUUUUUCGAGAAUAGUAUUCAAAAACAUUUUCAAUCAUUUGAUAUAUAGUAAUGUUAUCGACUUUUUUUCUACAUUUUUAAAUAUUUCGUAAAAAUAUUUUUGAUAUAUAGUAAUUUAUUUUCAAUCAUUCUUCAUAUUUAUAUAUUUAUUUUUACACAUGAUUCCAAAAAGGCAAAAAAUAAGGGAAAAUAUUUCUUUCAGAAAUUAGAAUAUAAGUGAAAAUACCCUCUUUUUAAAAAAAAAUUACUAAAUUAAUGUAGUUUUUGAAUUGUAGAGGGGACCAACCAAUUCCUUUUCUGAUAGGGUUUACCUUUUCAAGCCCUUUUGAAUUGUAUAUUCAUUUUUCCAAACAUCUUUGUCUCGGCUCAUUUAUUUCAUAAACAUUUUUGUUUCAGUCGUCUGAAAAUGUCUACUCUGUUAUUGUUCCAAGUUCCUACAAUCAAGACACUACAUUAAACCAUGAUUUGGAUGACCCCGAUGACAAUAUUCAUAUUUAGUUCUUUCUUCUAUAUUGUAGAGCAAGACUACUAAAACUUCUAUCCACCCUUUUAGCUGUUUCUGAUUAAAGUGAUACAACAGAGAAAAAAACAAAUAUUUUGAAAAACUUGGGUGGGUAUUAGGUAAUGAUAGGGUAGAUAAACAACAUAGAAGUUACAUUCAUUACAACAUAAAAAUACAAUCAAACUUUGAUGGGAAUAGCCCGUAGAGGCUGGGCCUUCUGUAAUGUAAAUCCCAACUUCUCAUUCAUGUCCAUAUCUUCUGGUUUCAUACCAUCGUCAAGCUUCCAAGCAUAGGAAUGAAGAAGAGAGGCCAAUAUCAGGUGCACCAUCCUAUGAGCUAAUGGCAGUCCAAGACAUAUUCUUCUUCCAGCACCAAAUGGAAUCAACUCAAAAUCUCGGCCUUUGACAUCAAUAUCGCACCCCAGAAACCUCUCAGGCACGAAUGCAUUCGGGUUCGACCAAAUGCUUGGAUCACGACCGAUAGCCCAUGCAUUAAUUAGUACUUGGGAAUUCUUUGGAACUGUGAAGCCGCAUAUUUCUACAUCAGUUUCAGCUUUAUGGGGAACUAGCAGUGGGGCUGGUGGGUGCAGCCUAAAGGUCUCUUUAACUAUGCCUUGUAAGUAAGGGAGCUUUGAGAUGUCUGAUUCUUGAACUAUCCCAUCCUUGCCAAGGACUUCUUGGAGCUCCCUUUGAG
rnacentral:lncRNA from 1 species